rnacentral:rRNA from 1 species
AACGAACGCUGGCGGCAGGCCUAACACAUGCCAGUCGAGCGCGCCUUCGGGUGAGCGGCGGACGGGUGAGUACCGCGUGGGAAUAUGCCCUUCUCUACGGAAUAGUCCUGGGAAACUGGGGGUAAUACCGUAUACGCCCUUUGGGGGAAAGAUUUAUCGGGGAAGGAUUAGCCCGCGUUGGAUUAGGUAGUUGGUGGGGUAAUGGCCUACCAAGCCGACGAUCCAUAGCUGGUUUGAGAGGAUGAUCAGCCACACUGGGACUGAGACACGGCCCAGACUCCUACGGGAGGCAGCAGUGGGGAAUCUUAGACAAUGGGGGCAACCCUGAUCUAGCCAUGCCGCGUGAGUGAUGAAGGCCUUAGGGUUGUAAAGCUCUUUCAGCUGGGAAGAUAAUGACGGUACCAGCAGAAGAAGCCCCGGCUAACUCCGUG